GCGGCGCGUCCACGUCCGUAAAACACCCAACUUUCUGAAAUGUUGACCUCGGAUCAGGUAGGAAUACCCGCUGAACUUAAGCAUAUCAAAAGCGGGAGGGAGAAAUUAAAUGGGUCCCGUGUAUUACAGUACGUUCCGUGUCCCUGACCAUCUUUUAAAAGACUCCUCCCGGAUCACCUCGGGAGGGCACCCGUUAAUGACCGUCCACCUCUAAGCAUGUUGAGCUUCGCAUUCUGCCGGAUUUUAUAACGUACA
rnacentral:rRNA from 1 species